rnacentral:lncRNA from 1 species
UGUUCAAGGCAGUCAAACCACCUCAAGAAGCCACAACAAGCUUCACAAGGAGCUGCUACUGGCCCACAAGAGGCAAGUACCAUUUGUUGGAGUCUAAAGUGAAUUUAACUAUCGUUAUUGAAUUAAUUGAUUUGUUAAUUGUCUUAGUGUGCUCUAUAUAAUAUUUAUUUAGACAGGCCUCCACUCUAAAUAUACACAGCCUGAUCAUUAGCAUUAGUAACUCAACAUGACUAUGGAGUAAAAAGGCGACAGACCAGCAAAUCUGAAGCUGUCAAACACAAACAUAGUUUUACAAGUUCUACUAAAACUAAACUUCAAUCACUGCAUAUCGUUGGUAAAUCGACUCCAGCUCUGUGCUUCUUUCUCUGGACUUAGUGGUCAAGUUCUGAGCAGCCGAUCAGAACUUCAGCAGGUCCUGGAAAGGAGGCAGAGGGUGCAGAGCGUCCAGAAUGAGGAGGGGCAGCGCAGGACGCCUCUGGAGGACGUGCUGCUCAGACGUCAGCAGAAGCAGCUGGAGAGAGAGAAGGAAGAAGAGGAGAAGGUACGAGAGGAAGCUCAGUAUCUGGAGUACGUUAAAGUCCGACAAAACCUGAGGAAGAUCCACGCUGCGAUGCAGAACAAGGCUGCCAGCACCUGACAUGUGACGCUGAGCCCUGCUGAAACAUGAGCUACUGUACAUUUAGAGGAGAUUUUCAUAUAAAAACCCCAGACAUCAUUAGGCUCACAAGUCUUUGGAUUUCUAUGAUUUUACCUUUGGAAAAAGAGCUGGAAGUGACGACUUUGUUAUUUCUAAUCUUUAUUAUAAGAGCUUUUAUAGAAGGGAAGUGAAGAAUGAACCCAGAUAAGAAAGUAGCAGCAAACAUCUACAAAAGCCUCGUGAUCUGGAAUAACCUGGAUCUGGAUGCUUCCAUUUACAUUAAUGCCUUUGAGCCUUUGAGCAAUUAGAGCUUUUCUACUAAAAAUGAUAAACGGCAUGUUGUUAAAAGUCUACACUUCACUCAUUUAUAAUGUGAAAUGGAAUUAAAAUGGAAAUAAAAAUGUGGUAUUGUCCA